UUCGGACUGCAGGCUGCAACCCGCCUGCACGAAGCCGGAGUUGCUAGUAAUCGCGAAUCAGAAUGUCGCGGUGAAUGCGUUCCCGGGUCUUGUACACACCGCCCGUCACACCAUGGAAGUCGGGGGCGCCCGAAGUCGGUCGAGAAAUAGGCUGCCUAAGGUGAAACCGAUGACUGGGGUGAAGUCGUAACAAGGUAAC
rnacentral:rRNA from 1 species